AUUGAACGCUGGCGGCAGGCCUAACACAUGCAAGUCGAGCGGCAGAACAGUACGUGCUUGCGGUUACGGGGGGCGACGGGCGAGCGGGGCCUAAGAAUAUCGGUGUCUGUGUGUUCUAACGGGCGAACGCGGGGGAUAAUACGCUAUAAGCGCUGACGAAGUACGGGUGGGAUCAUCGGACCUUACGCCAUCACGCGAUUCAAGGUGGGUAUGUCGAGUUAGCUAGUUGGUGGGGUAAAGGGGCACCAAGGCGACGAUCCGUAGCUGGUCUGAGAGGAUGAUCAGUCACACUGGAACUGAGACACGGUCCAGACUCCUACGGGAGGCAGCAGUGGGGAAUAUUGGACAAUGGGCGAAAGCCUGAUCCAGCCAUACCGCGUGUGUGAAGAAGGCCUUCGGGUUGUAAAGCCCUUUUGUUGGGGAAGAAAAGCAGUAGGUUAAUACCUUGCUGUUUUGACGGUACCCAAAGAAUAAGCACCGGCUAACUUCGUG
rnacentral:rRNA from 1 species